AAAUUAUUUAAACAAAAUGUUUCUGAGAGAAGAAAUGUAGUUCUGAUAUGAAAAUCUUUUUCCUUGAAGGACCCCAAGGCCCCAGGCCCAACAUUAGGAAAACUAACCCCUGUGCCCUGAAGCUGCAAGAUGUUCCCUUACCCAACCCCCAUGUCAAAACCCCACCAGCUGCACGUAGCACUUCAAGUCUCGCACAAUGUUACCACAAGAUGUUCCAUAUAGAUAACCCCGGAAGGGCCAAACUUGAGCAAACAGGGUAAAAACAGGAACUAAAAGGACAGGAUGCAAUUUUAUGGUUUUUCUGAGAACUAAAGUGGGAAAACAAGUUUACCCCCCUAGGUGACUCAACUGCUGAAUUCAGAGGGACCAAUAGGAAGGCUGUUGCUGUGCUAAGCUAAGACCUAACCCACCUGUUCCCUAUAAAAGAUCUAUACCCCAAAGCCCGGUGUGCCAGUUCACCGAAGCUCCGGCUGAGGUUUUGCUGUGCACCCGCAGGCGCCUGUGUGAGAAUAAACGCCUCCUGCUUUUUGCAGCCAGUGUCUCGUGUGGUUCAUUCCGGGUUUGGGAUCUGUGGAUAUUUCAUUGUGGAGGUUCCACCGAGAUCCAAGAUCCCGGUUCCGGUUCCGAUCCCGGUCCCUAUCCGGAGGACACCCGACAUCACUGGGAGACUCAUUUGCAUGCUUUGCAAUUGGUCCAGAACGAGGUCUGGAAGCCUCUAGCCGCAGCAUACAAAGAGGAACUUAAAACCCCCUUGCUGCCACAUCCCUUCAAGGUCGGAGAUACCGUCUGGGUACGCAGGCACCAGAGCAGGAACCUCGAACCGCGGUGGAAAGGACCCUACACUAUCCUGCUGACCACUCCUACUGCACUCAAAGUGGACGGCAUCACUGCUUAGAUCCAUGCUUCCCACGUGAAGACUGCACAUCCACAGGAGUCUGCAGACACCUCUCCGGAUCCAGAAUGGAAGUUGCAACGUACCCAAAAUCCGCUAAAGACUCACUCGCUGUUGAUUUUUCUUGCUUUGUGCUGUGUCUUCCCCAUAUCAGUUAACCCCAACCAAUCUGUGAGCCAGACAUGACAAGUAUUAUCGGGGACAAGAAAUAUAAUUAAAAAAAAAAAAAAACAGGAUCCCCCACUUUCUGCUGACUCUUGCAGGAGCCUGAAAUGGUACGGGGCAGGGCCAUGUACCGCAUUUGCCUGCAACCCCUUAAACAUUACCUUUACUCAGGCAGGCAAAGCAUCAAAAGAUUUUUGGAUAAAAAGAAAACAAUGGGGCCUGAGAGUAUAUCAUAAAACUGCCUAUGACCCUGGGGUCCUAUUCAAAAUUAGAUUAAUAGUAAAUACCAACCCCCAACCAGUAUGCUGAGCCGUCAGCUAAAAUAAUGCUGGAAUCCGAGCAGAUGGGUCAAUGGAUAUAAGAUUAUAUCCAUGAUAUAAAAAAAGGGGGGAAUGAAGGACCCCAAGGCCCCAGGCCCAACAUUAGGAAAACUAACCCCUGUGCCCUGAAGCUGCAAGAUGUUCCCUUACCCAACCCCCAUGUCAAAACCCCACCAGCUGCACGUAGCACUUCAAGUCUCGCACAAUGUUACCACAAGAUGUUCCAUAUAGAUAACCCCGGAAGGGCCAAACUUGAGCAAACAGGGUAAAAACAGGAACUAAAAGGACAGGAUGCAAUUUUAUGGUUUUUCUGAGAACUAAAGUGGGAAAACAAGUUUACCCCCCUAGGUGACUCAACUGCUGAAUUCAGAGGGACCAAUAGGAAGGCUGUUGCUGUGCUAAGCUAAGACCUAACCCACCUGUUCCCUAUAAAAGAUCUAUACCCCAAAGCCCGGUGUGCCAGUUCACCGAAGCUCCGGCUGAGGUUUUGCUGUGCACCCGCAGGCGCCUGUGUGAGAAUAAACGCCUCCUGCUUUUUGCA